rnacentral:rRNA from 1 species
CACGGAGACCCCUAGCGUUGUUCGGAAUCACUGGGCUUAAAGCGGGUGUAGGCGGAGCGGUAAGUACCUUGUGAAAUCCCCGGGCUCAACCCGGGAAUGGCUCGGUAUACUGUCGUUCUUGAGGCAGGCAGGGGCUGCUGGAACCUUAGGUGGAGCGGUGAAAUGCGUAGAUAUCUAAGGGAACGCCUGUGGCGAAAGCGGGCAGCUGGGCCUGUUCUGACGCUGAGACCCGAAAGCGUAGGGAGCGAACGGG